rnacentral:rRNA from 1 species
GCUUGCUAAGGCCGAUGGCGACCGGCGCACGGGUGAGUAACACGUAUCCAACCUGCCGUCUACUCUUGGACAGCCUUCUGAAAGGAAGAUUAAUACAAGAUGGCAUCAUGAGUCCACAUGUUCACAUGAUUAAAGGUAUUCCGGUAGACGAUGGGGAUGCGUUCCAUUAGAUAGUAGGCGGGGUAACGGCCCACCUAGUCUUCGAUGGAUAGGGGUUCUGAGAGGAAGGUCCCCCACAUUGGAACUGAGACACGGUCCAAACUCCUACGGGAGGCAGCAGUGAGGAAUAUUGGUCAAUGGGCGAGAGCCUGAACCAGCCAAGUAGCGUGAAGGAUGACUGCCCUAUGGGUUGUAAACUUCUUUUAUAAAGGAAUAAAGUCGGGUAUGGAUACCCGUUUGCAUGUACUUUAUGAAUAAGGAUCGGCUAACUCCGUGCCAGCAGCCGCGGUAAUACGGAGGAUCCGAGCGUUAUCCGGAUUUAUUGGGUUUAAAGGGAGCGUAGAUGGAUGUUUAAGUCAGUUGUGAAAGUUUG